CGAGUGGCGAACGGCUGAGUAACACGUGGAGAACCUGCCCCCUCCCCCCGGGAUAGCCGCCCGAAAGGACGGGUAAUACCGGAUACCCCCGGGCGCCGCAUGGCGCCCGGGCUAAAGCCCCGACGGGAGGGGGAUGGCUCCGCGGCCCAUCAGGUAGACGGCGGGGUGACGGCCCACCGUGCCGACAACGGGUAGCCGGGUUGAGAGACCGACCGGCCAGAUUGGGACUGAGACACGGCCCAGACUCCUACGGGAGGCAGCAUG
rnacentral:rRNA from 1 species